rnacentral:misc_RNA from 1 species
AAGUCGUAACAAGGUUUCCGUAGGUGAACCUGCGGAAGGAUCAUUAACACGUAUCCAACGUUAAACAACCCUGUGAACUUUAAGUCCCCUCUUGCAGCCCAUGAGGAACAGCAAUCCCGGUAAAUCAUUGCCAGUUUUGAUUCCUCUGUCCAAAAGGAGUUGUGGAAGCAGUGGCAUGGCUUCCCCAAGCAGUUAGUGAAUGACAGUGUCACUGACUGUGUAAUCACGGUUGCUAGAGGUCGAUCACCGACCGGCAGACAUGUCACAGGGUCACCACCUCCACUUGAAAAUGCAGGUAAAAAAAAACCGAACAACUGUUAACAAUGGAUAUCUUGGUUCUC